rnacentral:rRNA from 1 species
GCCCAGACUCCUACGGGAGGCAGCAGUGGGGAAUAUUGCACAAUGGGGGGAACCCUGAUGCAGCGACGCCGCGUGAGUGAGGAAGUAUUUCGGUAUGUAAAGCUCUAUCAGCAGGGAAGAAAAUGACGGUGCCUGACCAAGAAGCCCCGGCUAACUACGUGCCAGCAGCCGCGGUAAUACGUAGGGGGCAAGCGUUAUCCGGAUUUACUGGGUGUAAAGGGAGCGUAGGCGGCUGUGUAAGCCAGAAGUGAAAGCCCGGGGCUCAACCACGGGACUGCUUUUGGAACUACAUGGCUCGAUUGCAGGAGAGGCAAGUGGAAUUCCUGGUGUAGCGGUGAAAUGCGUAGAUAUUAGGAGGAACACCAGUGGCGAAGGCGGCUUACUGGACUGUAACUGACGUUGAGGCUCGAAAGCGUGGGGAGCAAACAGGAUUAGAUACCCGGGUA